AUCAUAGAGGAAAAUCCAUG
rnacentral:miRNA from 2 species